AUGGUCACCCACCGUUGGAUAUUA
rnacentral:miRNA from 1 species